ACGGCGAGUGAAGCGGCAAAAGCUCAAAUUUGAAAUCUGGCACCUUCGGUGUCCGAGUUUGUAAUUUUGAAGAAGGUAACUUUGGAGUUGGCUCUUGUCUAUGUUCCUUGGAACAGGACGUCACAGAGGGUGAGAAUCCCGUGCGAUGAGAUGCCCAAUUCUAUGUAAAGUGCUUUCGAAGAGUCGAGUUGUUUGGGAAUGCAGCUCUAAGUGGGUGGUAAAUUCCAUCUAAAGCUAAAUAUUGGCGAGAGACCGAUAGCGAACAAGUACAGUGAUGGAAAGAUGAAAAGAACUUUGAAAAGAGAGUGAAAAAGUACGUGAAAUUGUUGAAAGGGAAGGGCUUGAGAUCAGACUUGGUAUUUUGCGAUCCUUUCCUUCUUGGUUGGGUUCCUCGCAGCUUACUGGGCCAGCAUCGGUUUGGAUGGUAGGAUAAUGACUAAGGAAUGUGGCUCUACUUCGGUGGAGUGUUAUAGCCUUGGUUGAUACUGCCUGUCUAGACCGAGGACUGCGUCUUUUGACUAGGAUGUUGGCAUAAUGAUCUUAAGCCACCCGUCUUGAAACACGGAACCAA
rnacentral:rRNA from 1 species